rnacentral:rRNA from 1 species
UACGUAGGGGGCUAGCGUUGUCCGGAAUCAUUGGCGUAAAGCGCGUGUAGGCGGUCCGGUAAGUCCGCUGUGAAAGUCGGGGGCUCAACCCUCGAAUGCCGGUGGAUACUGUCGGGCUAGAGUGCGGAAGAGGCGAGUGGAAUUCCUGGUGUAGCGGUGAAAUGCGCAGAUAUCAGGAGGAACACCAAUUGCGAAGGCAGCUCGCUGGGACGUUACUGACGCUGAGACGCGAAAGCGUGGGGAGCAAACAGG